GUAAUCGUGUGGCGGUCAAAUCCUUUGGUAAAUCAGAGGUCCCAGCAAAGAUGGGGCACCCCGCCCGUCCUCUGCGGAGGCAAGGAGGUCCUCAGACAUCUUCACGCGCCUGCCACAUUAGUAUUGGAAAGGGGUCACUGCGCAGGCCGGCCGAGUCCGCAGGGGCCACUGUGCCCGAGCUUGGGCGCUCUGCAGCGCCUCCAGGAGCCGGAGACGUGUGGACUCGACGGGUUGGCUCUGCUGCUGGCCACUUGUGUUCCCAGGUGAUGGCGGGAUAGGAUAGGCGUCCACUGUCCACAGGAGGGGGGCCACCAGGCGCCUGUGAGCUAUGGGGAGGUGGUGGGGCCUUUGUGGGUGGGGCCUGCUGGAGAGAGUCGGUCACUCUUUAGAGGUGAGCCCCGAAGGGAGCCCUCACCCCCUUCCUGCGCCCCCUUUGCUUCCCGCCACCACUGGGAAAAGUCUCCUCCGCCACCCACUUCUGCCAUGAUGCGCAUGCUUCCCAGGUGACCGUGGAAACCUGAAACCACAAGUCAGUCAAAACAAACCUUUUCCCUCAUUAAGUUGAUUAUCUGGAAUAUUCUGUUGCAGUGGUGGAAACUGAGUAACACAAGACACUCUGGACACUGGUCAUCAAUAAUCACAGAACACGUGGAAAUCAUCUUUUUUCACUUCCUGGCUUAUAUUUUUACCUCAUCACAUUGAUGGUUUUCAAACACAAUUUCUCCAGUGUAACAUAGUCAAAUGCAUCAGUCUCUAAUGACUUGUGGUUUUAGUGAUUCCAGGUCUCAGUCUACUUUCAGAUGCUACAACAAAAUACCCAGUGCUGGGUAGGAACUUUAUAAAGAAAGAAAAGGGGUUUAGCUCACAGUUUUGGAGGCUGAAGUCCAAGAUCAAGCAGCUGCAUCUGUUCUGCCUCUGAUGCGGCCCCAGCUGCCUCACAGCACGGCCGGAAAGCAGGAAGAGAAACGGUGCAAGGUCAAUGAAAAAAAAGCUUGUAUUUACAGCAGAAAACCCAAGCUGGAAGCAGGAUGGAACAAAACCCCACUAAAACAGCCACGCAACCUGUGCAGAGCCCCAAGAGGCAAGUGGCGACGUCAGGCCGUCCUGAGAAGACGGCGGCUGUGCGAGAGGGCACUGACCCCGGGGCUGGCGGGUGAGUGCCCCUCGCUCUGCAGCAACCCCUCAGCGGGGCCUCCUGCCAGCCCUCCUGGCCCCAAGGCCACACGUGGACACUGCGUGUUUCUCUCGGGGUUCCGCGGUCUCGUUUUCACAGUUCACUGUUUAGAGGGCCUGGUCCUUAGGACAGCGGCGUGCUCUCCGUGUGGACCGGCUCCUGACCCUGCGCCUGGGCCAGCUGCCUGGGGCACGCCUGCGCCUUGCUCUUCCACACCCUCGGGCUCCUCGCAGACUUUUGGACCAGCUGCCAAGCCCCAGGGAAGACAGGGGCCGUGAAGACGUCUCACCGGGUCCCUGGAGCUGGCCACAGAACCCGACCUCAGGUUCCGAGGCCGAACCCCGCCCCUCCCAGCAAGGCCUCGGGUCUUCUCAGGACGCGGGGUCUGGCUCACUCCUGGGGUCUGCUCGGGUUUUGCGGCUCUCUUGGUGGUUUCCCCAUCACACUUGCACUUGGCGCACUGGUGAAGAUAGAUGGGCCUUCUGUUUGGUGGGCUGGUUCUCCUCCAUGAGUCUCACUGGGCCCAUGCCAGCCCUCUUACUGCCUCCACAGCAGAGCCUCAGACAGACCCUCUCCUUCCCGUCCUGAGGUCCGUCGCCUCUCUUCUUGCUUUAUUGCCCUUAGCAAAGACUGAGAGCACACGGCUGCAGCGACCUGUUCCCAACUGCCUUGGGAAGGGCAGAGGCCCCAGGGAGCCCGUGUCGCUGUGAAUCCUUGGAAGAGGCCCCUCCUCCUGUGAGGGACGCCUGCUCCCCCUGUGGGUCCCUUGGUCCUGUUUUGCCUCCACUAAGAUCAGCGCAGGGCAGAGGACCGCAAGCUUCCCCCUGGGAGCCUGAGGCAUUGUCCUGGGGAUUAGGUUAAACACACCUGUCAGCCAGGCCCAGUGACACUCACUGCCACCCCAGGAUCAUAAAUCUGAGGUCAGCCUAGACAACUUAGCAAGAUCCGUCUCAAAAAUAAAAAUUAAAUUACAUUUAACUUAAAAAUAAAUGCACAAGUAUAUUUAGUAGCUCCUGCCACACCCAAAAAAUGUGUGAGAUGAUAGAUGUGUCAGUCUACUUCACUAUGGUGACGUUUUAGUGUUUG
rnacentral:lncRNA from 1 species